rnacentral:tRNA from 1 species
AUCUUAUUAGCUUAUACAAAGCGUAUUGUUCUUAACUAUAAAAAGAUGGAGAAUUACCAUCAUAAGAUA